rnacentral:rRNA from 1 species
AGCCUGCCGCGUGUGUGAAGAAGGCCUUCGGGUUGUAAAGCACUUUCAGCGGGGAGGAAGGCGAUGAGGUUAAUAACCUUGUCGAUUGACGUUACCCGCAGAAGAAGCACCGGCUAACUCCGUGCCAGCAGCCGCGGUAAUACGGAGGGUGCAAGCGUUAAUCGGAAUUACUGGGCGUAAAGCGCACGCAGGCGGUCUGUCAAGUCGGAUGUGAAAUCCCCGGGCUCAACCUGGGAACUGCAUUCGAAACUGGCAGGCUUGAGUCUUGUAGAGGGGGGUAGAAUUCCAGGUGUAGCGGUGAAAUGCGUAGAGAUCUGGAGGAA